rnacentral:rRNA from 1 species
UACGUAGGGUGCAAGCGUUGUCCGGAAUUAUUGGGCGUAAAGAGCUCGUAGGCGGUCUGUCGCGUCUGCUGUGAAAUCUCAGGGCUUAACCCUGAGCUUGCAGUGGGUACGGGCAGACUAGAGUGCGGUAGGGGAGACUGGAAUUCCUGGUGUAGCGGUGAAAUGCGCAGAUAUCAGGAGGAACACCGGUGGCGAAGGCGGGUCUCUGGGCCGUAACUGACGCUGAGGAGCGAAAGCCAGGGGAGCAAACAGG